rnacentral:ncRNA from 2 species
AUGAAAAUAAGGGGAGAGACUGCUAAUGCAGCGCCGAAGGAGCAAGCUUUAAGGAGUGAAUCUCUCAGGCAAAAAGACUCUUAUUUGACG